UGCAGGGAGGAUAGCAAGUCCUGGAUGAGCUCAUGACCUUUCACAUUUCUAGAGAGCAAGUGCCAGCAGAUGACAGAACGAAUGAACAAGUAGCAAAUAUACAUUCAUGGAAAAGGUCAGAGCAGCUGGUUUUGCUUGAUUCACUCAUUUGAUUGUGGGUGUGGAUGUGGUGUGUGUGCUUUGGGGCAGGCAAUGUGGCAGCUGCUCCUAGUUGUGAAUAUAUUGCAUGCCUAUAACACUGUUUCCAUGUUUGCUGAGUUGUUCUUUGUUUCUAUGAUGAAAUUAAAUAUACCUUUUCAUGGGACUAGACAAAGAGCAUCAAUCAUUCUGUGGCAGCAGCUUUUCAUGAAUCCCCUAAAACUGUGCAAAGCUGCGUUCUAUGUGUAUGCAUGUGUUGUUCCGGUGAGGGAGUUCUGAAGUCAAUGCUAUAGUUAGAUUACCAAAGACGUCUGUGAUUCCAGAAGGAUUAAAAACCACUGACCAUCUAUCAUUCUACCUAUCUGCCAUCUCUCCAUCAUGUUUAUAACAUCAUUUAUGCAUGCAUUUAUCUAUUUAUCCACUAAGAGACAUAUUUCUUUCCAGAUGGUAGCAUUUGAGAUGAUUUAUUUGUAAUUUUCUGUCCUGCUUUACUCCUUCAUAAUGACCAUUGUAUUAGUCCGUUUUCACACUGCUAUAAAGAGCUGCCCGAGAGUGGGUAAUUAAUAAAGGAAAGAGGUUUAAUUGACUCACAGUUCAGCAUGGCUGGGGAGGCCUCAGGAAAGUUACAAUUAUGCCAGAAGUCAAAGGGAAAGCAAGGCAUCUUUUUCACAAGGCAGCAGGAAGGAGAGGUGCUGAGCCAAGCAGGAAGAGCCCUUUACAAAACCAUCAGAUCUUGUGAAAACUCACUCACUAUCACGAGAACAGCAUGGGGGAACCACUCCCAUUAUUUAGUUACCUCCACCUGCUCUCUCCCUUGACAAGCAGGGAUUACGGGCAUUACAACUCAAGAUGAGAUGUGGGUGGGGACACAAAGCCUACCCAUAUCAACCAUGUAUCAUUCUUAGAAAAAUAAUGAAGUGAUUAAGAGAAAAGGACAGCUGAUCUGGGUGCCCCACCACGUGUCCAACUUAUCUUUAUACCUCCAUUGAUGGGAAACUCAACCAGCUCUCUAGGUGGCCUAGUCUGUCUGUUUACCUCAAAGUAUUAACAUUUCUUCCACAUGCUGAAUUCAUGGCUAGGCAAUGAACAAAUCAAUGAAGAAGGCUGGGCACGGUGGCUCACGCCUGUAAUCUCAGCACUUUGGGAGGCCAAGGGGCAGAUCACUUGAGGCCAGGAGUUCGAGACUAGCCUGACCAACAUGGUGAAACCCCAUCUCUAUUAAAAAUACAAAAAAUAGCUGGGCGUGGUGGUACAUGCCUGUAAUCUCAGCUACUCAGGAGGCUGAGGUAGGAGAAUCACUUGAGCCCAGGAGGCGGAGGUUGCAGUGAGCCAAAAUCAGGCCACUGCACUCCAGCCUGGGUGAUAGAGCUAGAGUCUCAGAAAAUAAAUAAAUAAACAAACAAAUCGAUGAAGCUCCAGGGGGCAGAUAAAACAGAAGUGAGUCUUGGGGUGGAAGACAGGGAGAGGCAUCUGUGGCUGGAUCCCUAGAAGCCAUCUGAGAACACCUGCCUGCUUUGCCAUCCCAGAUCAGGGACAGGGUGCCAAGGACAGCAAACAGGGCUCAGCACAGCCUGGGCAUGCAAAUGGCUUGUCUGUGGUUCACGGAACAAGCUCAGGAAGCUGGCAGGGAGGAAGGGGAUAUAGUGAGGCAGAAAGGAGAAGAACAAAGUUCAAAUACACAAGGGAAGGGAGUAGGUGGGGCUCACCUAAUGUCAACAGCCCUUGGGUGCAGGAACUCUGUGGAGAAUGUGACCCCAAGAAGGGAGUGGUGGCAAUGCCAACAUGCCUUGGUUAAGAGAAAAGGCCCUUUGGCUAUAAUGCUGUGUCCUAGUUCCCAAGGCAGCCCCCAACUAGAUUUCCCUCAAAAUGCAGGUGUGUGUAUGGGUAUGUAGAGAAGGUAGAGUAAUCACAUGCACCAUAUUUUAAAUGUCGACCUAUUUUUACCUCAAAAAUUUCAUCUGGUCCUCAUGGAACCUUUAAUGCAGGCAAAGUUAAGACUCAGAAAGGAGAUGUGCCUGGAAUAAGGACAUACAGCUCAAUAAGGCAGCAGAGGCAUCAGCAAAAGGACCCAUUUUGUGUGUGCAUUUAUUCCAAAUUGCCCCCUUUAAAAUAGGCUUUUUAAAUGUAUCAUUUCCCCUUCACUCUUUGAUUUGCUUUUUUAGAGUCUUCCUGUAUUUUAUGUAUUGGAAUUGAUCUACAAUAAAAUACAGGUAGACUGCAACUCCAAGGUCAAUAACGGUUGGAGAUCCUUCGGUUAUUCAUGAUGCUAUGGCAUUUCAAGACUGCCUGGGAACUGAUGAGAAAACAGAUGUAAAACCUAUGAGCAAGUCCAAACUUAGCCCAUGGGUCACCCCAGCAGACCACAAAUGACUUAAAAACCACACAUGCGUGCACACACACACACACACGCACUCCCAGCUUGCCUUUAGUAAGGAGUCACAAAUUACCAUCCUGAACUUUUUAUUGGAAAAAAGUGUCCCCGGACAGUUGAAGAGUCAUCUCUGAAUAGAAAGACAAGUCUAUCACUGACAUACUGAGUAUUUUUAUGGUUACAGUGACAGUGAGGAAGAAAAAACUACAAGAGGGGUUGGAGAUGAGCGAGAACAAAACUCAGGACAGUAAACAAAGGGGACUUCACACAGGUGAGAAGAAACUCAGGAGGCUCCCAUGAAGAGUAGUGUGUUUUGUUCCAACAGCGAAGGGACAUAGUCCCCAACAGGGCUGCCCUCACCUCAGACACCAGCCCCAUGUGGGGAUCCCAGGCCAUCAGCGCUUGUGACCAACUGCCUACAAUCCCAGGAGGGUACCAUGAUCUUCCUCAGGUUCAAUGAUUCACUAAAAAUCACAGAACUCAGGACUAUACUUAUGAUUAGUUUUAUUAUAAAGGAUACAAAUCAG
rnacentral:lncRNA from 1 species